rnacentral:SRP_RNA from 1 species
GUCAGGCAUGGUGGAAUAUGCCUAUAAUCCCUGCUGCUGCUGGGGGCCGAGGCUAACAGAUCCCUUGCGUUCAGGAGUCCUGAGCUGCAGCAUGCAAAGCCAACUGGGUAUCUGCAAUACGUCCAACCACAGGGUAGUUAAGUGGAGUACCACAAGACUCCCUGAGGAGGAACAAACUGAUCCAGGAUAGAAUAAUGGAGUAGAUCAAAGUUUCUGUGCCAGUCAGUAUUGGGAUCCUGCCUGUGAGUGGCUGCUGUACUUCUAGCACAGGAAAAUAGGAAGAUCUGGUCUCCC